CAACCUGCCGUUUACUCUUGGACAGCCUUCUGAAAGGAAGAUUAAUCCAGGAUGGCAUCAUGAGCCCACAUGUUCUCAUGAUUAAAGGUAUUCCGGUAGACGAUGGGGAUGCGUUCCAUUAGAUAGUAGGCGGGGUAACGGCCCACCUAGUCGACGAUGGAUAGGGGUUCUGAGAGGAAGGUCCCCCACAUUGGAACUGAGACACGGUCUAAACUCCUACGGGAGGCAGCAGUGAGGAAUAUUGGUCAAUGGGCGAGAGCCUGAACCAGCCAAGUAGCGUGAAGGAUGACUGCCCUAUGGGUUGUAAACUUCUUUUAUAAAGGAAUAAAGUCGGGUAUGCAUACCCGUUUGCAUGUACUUUAUGAAUAAGGAUCGGCUAACUCCGUGCCAGCAGCCGCGGUAAUACGGAGGAUCCGAGCGUUAUCCGGAUUUAUUGGGUUUAAAGGGAGCGUAGAUGGAUGUUUAAGUCAGUUGUGAAAGUUUGCGGCUCAACCGUAAAAUUGCAGUUGAUACUGGAUGUCUUGAGUUCAGUUGAGGCAGGCGGAAUUCGUGGUGUAGCGGUGAAAUGCUUAGAUAUCACGAAGAACUCCGAUUGCGAAGGCAGCCUGCUAAUCUGCGACUGACAUUGAGGCUCGAAAGUGUGGGUAUCAAACAGGAUUAGAUACCCUGGUAGUCCACACGGUAAACGAUGAAUACUCGCUGUUUGCGAUAUACAGCAAGCGGCCAAGCGAAAGCGUUAAGUAUUCCACCUGGGGAGUAC
rnacentral:rRNA from 1 species